GGAUGUAUAUAAGAGGGUUGCUAAACGUUUUGUGGUGUGCAAAAACAUAGUGUACUUUUUGCAUCAGGAAGGGGUGUAUGACAGGGAAGUGUAUGUGCCAGUGUUUUCUGUUGAGUCAGCUGUGAGUAUGUGUUUGUUGGUGCAUGAUCGGUUUGGGCAUACGGGAAAAAAUAAGUUGUGGGAAUGCAUGAGAGAGAGAUUGUAUGCUCCAGGGUUGAAUAAGAUUUGUGUGGAUGUGGCUGUCACGUGUGAAGACUGUCAGAGGGGAAAGUAUCAGAGUGUGCAUGCAAGUCCGCCUGUGUUGCGAUUGCAGAUGAAAGAGCCGUUUGAAAUGCUUGUGAUUGAUUGUGUUUCUUUGCCUAGGACUGCGAGAGGACACGUGGGGAUGAUUGUGAUGGUUGAUCACAUGAGUAAAUUUGCUUAUGUGGUUCCCAUCAAAGAUAAGAGUGAAACUGUUGCACGAAUGGUGGGUCAAGUGAUGUUUCCCAUGUGUGUGUGUAAGCCGGCAAAAAUGUUGAGUGAUAAUGGACCUGAGUUUGUGGGAUGGGAAUUUGAAGGAAUGGGGUAUUGUGCAUGUGUAUUCUACUCCCUAUAUGCCCAGUGCGAAUGGGUUGGCUGAAAUGACUGUUAGGACGAUGACUGAGAUUUUGCGAAUGAUGAGCAAGGGCGACAAGGAUUGGGAUAUGUAUGUAGGACGUGCAGUUUGGGUAUAUAACGCCACACUGCAUAAGAGUAUAGGUAUGUCUCCUUGUAAAUAUGUGUUGAAUUUUGAAAGGAUUGUCAGACCGCGGUUGGGUCUGUCAGAAGGUGAUCGGGAUUUGUGGAAGAAAGCAAGUGAAAGGUUUGAGAGUUUUGGGAUUGGGGGUAAGGUGUUGAAAGAGGUGGUUGAGAUGGGAAGAAUGAAUGUGAAUAAAGUGAGGGAGAAAUUUGAAGGGCCUUUUGAGAUUUUGGAAGUGGGACCGAGUGGAUUGAGUUAUGUUUUGGGGAAAUUGCGAGUAGGUGGGGGAAUGGAUGAGGUUAGGGCACACCAUAACCAGCUCCGUAAGUGGAGGGAAGUGCCACAGUAUGUUCGGGAGAAUGCGAUGAGUGAGUGGUUGAGGGUGAAUAAGUAUGAGCCGACUGUUGGUGAACAAAUUGGUCUGGGAGAUCGACAGUUGGUGUUGGUUGAGUAUGGAAGAAAACAGAAGAGUGUGUAGAGAGGAAGUGGAAGGGAAAAGCGUGAACGGCAUGGUAAUGGGGUUGGUGGUAGGGUGCUAAUGGUUGAUAAAGAGUGUGCUACGGAUGACUUAGGGGGAAUGAAUGAUACUUGUAGUGUAUGUGGGUUUGAGUUGACAGGGACAAAUGAGACUUCAGUGAGAAGGAAACUGAGUAGUGAGGAGGUGGUUGAUAGGAUGGAUAAGUCUUUGCGGGAGUUUGACAGAAGUAUGGAUGAACUGAGUGGUUUGGUGGCUGAAAUAGGGGAGAUGUUGGAACCAGAGUUAGAAGACAUCGGUGAAGUACUGAAUGGAAUUUGGGAGGAUGGUAGUGAGGGAGAUAAUGGGAGUUUGAAAGAAAGUGGUUUGGAAGAAGUGAAUGGCGAUGUAACUGAAAGAGUGUAUGAUGGUCCUCAAACAAGAUUCAAUGGGCCUGCAUCUGACCAUCCUUGGGUGUUGCGAAAGGCAAUUUAGUGUGGAUGUUGAGAGUGUAAGGAGAUGUUGUCAAAUGUAAUGGGGGAGGUAAUAUGGAGGAGUAAUGAUAGUUUAUAUUUGACAACAUCUCCGAAGGUUGUGUGUGAGAGAGAGAGAGAUUGGUGGAAGAAUGAAUGGGAGUGGUUAAAUGGCGGUCGGAAGUAUGUCAGUUGUGGCGCUCUGUAGGAAGUCAAUGGAAGUCUGUUACGAGAGUCGUAAGCAGUGAAACGUCUGGUCAAGUCAGUGUCGGUUUUGGCAGCAGUUGUCCUUUGGUGUUUCGUUGUUUGGGUGGUAAUUGAUAAAUUUUGGGGUUGUGAAGUUGUUGUGCGUGUGUCUGUCUGGUUGUGGUGAGGUUAAGAAGGUUGGUGGUGCAUUUUCGGUGUCUGUUAGUGGUGGUUGGGGCAGUGUUGGUUUUGGCGGGGAGUUGUGUGUUGUGUUCUUUCAGGCGGUUGGUGUUCGUUUGCAGUGAUUUGUUGGGUUAUUGAGUUUUUGUGGGGUUGUGGGUCUCGGGGGGGGUUGGUUUGUGCUUGGUUGUCGGCGGUGGUUGUGUCGGCUAGCCUAUAGCCUACUAUAUCCAGUGGACAGCACAGCCUAGCCCUGAGUAGCAGAAGCCAGAGUGCAAAGUCAUUGUUUUUACAUGCAGUGAUGAUGGUUGAAAAUUCCCUUAUUAACUACUUCCAGCUUAAGAAGAUGAUUUGGAUGGUAGUUAUAAGAAAGGUUUUACAGACCAACAGAUAGUUAAGCCAAGAUGUUUCAAGCCAGUUAUGUAGUAACUUCAGUAGAGACAAGUUAAGCUCAAGAUAUUUCUUGGAAGCCAUUAUCACUCACUCAGCAGGUUUUGCUGGGUGUGCUGUGGAAAGUGACAGUCAGCCAGCAAAAAUAGGAAUACAACACAGCCAAGCUGAGGGUUAAGAACAGGAAUUUACAAUAUUAACCACGUCACUCAACAAUUGCAAUUAGGAAGGGGAUUCUCAGGCUGCUGAAUGUACCAGUGUGUUUAAUUGUGACCUGCAGGAUCCAUGAAAAUACAAUAAGAAAAUGGAAGAAGGUUAAGCACCCCGAAGUCCCUGGUCAAUCAAAGGUUCAGAUAAUAUCAGAAGCUCCUUGAGGAGGAUGUGUACGUGUUGGCUGACUCAGGCAGACAUUUUACAUAGUAUCUUUUAUGGAUACCAUAAAAUAAGGGAUGUGAAAAGUUGGAGAAGAGGAUGAAGAUUGCCUGAAGUCUUCCUCCUUAGAUAAACCAGGGAACCAACAAAUAUAUAUCCAUCCAUUUAUAAGAUACAUCCCCUAUCAUAUGGAAGAAUGUUUACAAGAGCUGCUUCAGGAAUCUGGUCUCCCCCC